rnacentral:rRNA from 1 species
UACGUAGGGGGCUAGCGUUGUCCGGAAUCAUUGGGCGUAAAGAGCGUGUAGGCGGCCCGGUAAGUCCGCUGUGAAAGUCGGGGGCUCAACCCUCGAAUGCCGGUGGAUACUGCCGAGCUAGAGUGCGGAAGAGGCAACCGGAAUUCCCAGUGUAGCGGUGAAAUGCGUAGAUAUUGGGAAGAACACCAGAGGCGAAGGCGGGUUGCUGGGCCGACACUGACGCUGAGGCGCGAAAGCCAGGGGAGCAAAGCGGG